AUCUAUAGCCAUGCCACCCUUAAUGUGCCCAAUCUCGUCUGAUCUUGGAAGCUAAGCAGGGUUGGGCCUGGUUAAUGCUUGGAUGGGAGACUACCUAGGAAGACCAGGUGCUGUAGGUG
rnacentral:rRNA from 1 species